CAGCCGCCGCGGUAAUGCGAAGGGUGCAAGCGUUAAUCGGAAUUACUGGGCGUAAAGCGUGCGUAGGCGGUUUGUUAAGUCUGCUGUGAAAUCCCCGGGCUCAACCUGGGAAUGGCAGUGGAUACUGGCUCGCUAGAGUGUGUCAGAGGAUGGUGGAAUGCCCGGUGUAGCGGUGAAAUGCGUAGAGAUCGGGAGGGACAUCAGUGGCGAAGGCGGCCAUCUGGGACAACACCGACGCUGAGGCACGAAAGCGUGGGGAGCAAACAGGAUUAGAUACCCGCGUAGUCCCUGUCUCUUAUAC
rnacentral:rRNA from 1 species